GAUGAACGCUGGCGGCGUGCCUAAUACAUGCAAGUCGAGCGAACGGACGAGAAGCUUGCUUCUCUGAUGUUAGCGGCGGACGGGUGAGUAACACGUGGAUAACCUACCUAUAAGACUGGGAUAACUUCGGGAAACCGGAGCUAAUACCGGAUGAUAUUUUGAACCGCUUGGUUCAAAAGUGAAAGACGGUCUUGCAGUCACUUAUAGAUGGAUCCGCGCUGGAUUAGCUAGUUGGUAAGGUAACGGCGUACCAAGGCAACGAUGCAUAGCCGACCUGAGAGGGUGAUCAGCCACACUGGAACUGAGACACGGUCCAGACUCCUACGGGAGGCAGCAGUAGGGAAUCUUCGGCAAUGGGCGAAAGCCUGACGGAGCAACGCCGCGUGGGUGAUGAAGGUCUUCGGAUCGUAAAACCCUGUUAUUGGGGAAGAAAAUAUGUAUAAGUAACUGUGCACAUCUUGACGGUACCAAAUCAGAAAGCAACGGCUAACUACGUG
rnacentral:rRNA from 1 species